CUGAAGAAGGGAACUCGGGCAGCAGCCAAGCAACACCAAGUUACUCUGCAACCAGGUGAAUUGCCUUGAAGUUGAUAAGGUGGUGACUUAGAACUUUGGGGGCUCCAGGCACAGGUGACCACCAGAGACCCCCAAUGUAGCCACUGAGAGGCCUUAUAAGGGGGUGUGUGUAUGGUAACAGGUGUUCGGGAAUGUCCUGGAUUCGGAAGAGGAAUGCAGGGAACAAAGUGAACCCUCAUGUAAUGCUGAGCCCUCCCAUCAGCUGCAGUGGAGACACCUCUGUGUGCACUGUGGGAGCUGAUUGCCACAACAUCCAGAGGGCUGGGAUGAUUGCAGGGUGUUGUAAGCAAGGAAUGCCUGGCUUCUGAAACUCACCAGCUGAGUCUUAGAGGCUUCUUUGCCGAGCUGUUUUCAGGCAGCCAAAUGGGCCCUCAGCAGGGACUCUGUGCCUGCUCCCCCGUGGUUCCGAGGUAUCUCUGGGCCUUCAUGCCAGCACCGAGAUGUUCUCGGGAAGGCCCUCAGAUCCCCGGAGCAGUCUGGGACACAGGCACGAUCCCCCUGCAUUUUGGGAGCAGAUUGGGCCCCCUGGAGGGACAGUGCUGUUGGUGCCCCCCGGGCUCGGGGACCUCGAGGACUUGAGCGCGCACCGAAAGGAUUCUUCGGGGAGCUCCUGUGGGUGCCCCAAGCUGGGGAGCUCAAAGCAAGGUCCCUGGAAUGGAUUGAGGCAUUCCUGAGGGUAUCAGAGGUGUACCUGUCCAUCCUGGCCAUGGAGCUCUGGAAUGGACUGUUAUUGGGUUAUAAAAGUGGUGCUGCAACUGCAAAAGAGGUGUGGGAUUGGGAUUAAGGAAUGAGCGGUGAUGGUACCAUUGCCUGUUUUCUCUUGACAGGAAUUGUGAGAGCUGCAGGAGUGCAAGGUGUGGGUUCCAGUCCCCACCCUUUGGUUUGCACAUGUCCUGGUCAGACACAGUUACAACUUCCUCACUCCUUAACAUAAUAGAAGGAGAAUUAAGGGAUGGCACUGUGAAGGUGAUUGAUUGUGACAGGGGUUAAACUGGGAAAACAAUGAGUUUCUCUUUGCCAAAGUCACCCAAAUCUCUUCUAGGAAGAGAUUGAUUGGAAAAGUUGAGGCAGAAAUGAAAUUGGAAAAUGGGGAUAUUGAAAUUGUAAUUCCUGAAACUAAAUGUGGGAGAGCAGCAGCUCUUCUUGUGCAGGGAAUAACUCCUGUCAGCAGCACUGUCCCGACUGAAGUGGCAGAUGGAGUUGUUCCUGUCAUGUGGGCCAGUGGAAUUCCAGGAAACUGGACCAGCGCGGAACCUGUAAGAAUUACCCCUAAGCCAGAGUCUGUACUGGUAAGGCAAACCCAGUAUCCUUUAAAAUUAGGAAGCCAAGUUGGAUUGGUUCCUGUAACAGCCAAGUUUGGUAAUCAUGGUUUGAGAGUAGAAUGUGAAUGCAAGAACCUGUAAAGAAAGGAAAUGGGAAAGAUGAUUGAUUCCUGGGAGCAAGGGCUGACAGACACUGGCAGUGGAUGUUUGGUUGUGGUUGGCAAUGAGCAGCUUGACCUCCCCAUGGUUGUCUGUGCUGGCUGUGGGUUUGGGUCCUGUCUGGCCACAGGUCUGUGCAGCAGCUGGAGCCUGGGCAGGUUUGGGGGCUGUGGUGUCCCAGCCUCUGAAGUUUGUUGUCACUGUUUCCUUUCAGUGGCAAAGUGUUCCUGCUUGGCUGUUUGUUGCCCUGCAGCCAGAAGAGCCCAGCCCUGAGAUGGCUCCGUGUUGGUGUGAGCCACAGUCGGUGUCACCUGCCCUUGGGACAGUGCCCAGAGCUCCCUUUGCCAUCCCCUGCUGCAGGGUGGGAGCUGCACAGAGCCAGCAGCGUCCAGCUGGAGGAUCCAGGAGGAUGCAGCUCUGCUUUUCUGGGAGGGACACUGAGCUGGUCCAGCUGUGGCAAGAAGAGCAAGUGGGCUGUGAAGGUUUGGAGCAGUCUGGAAGGUUCCUUUUGCCCAAAAGAUCCUGGCAAGUGCAGCCCUGGAAGAGUCAGGAAUAAUGAAAAGUGUCCCAGUUCUCCUGAAGCUCAACUUUGUAAAACAUUCAUGAAGAUCAAAUUCCUCAGCAACGAGCUGUUGGGUCCCAAAUACUCUUGGAGGGAGAGGCAGAAACUCCCCCUGGUGCUGGGGCUGAACUGUCUGCAGUGACCAGGCAGGACUUGGCCCUGAUGCCUGAGUGCUCUCCAGUGCUCCAGGCUGGCUCCCACCUGUCAACCCCUUGCUCCAUAACUUGAGGAGAGAGUGUUCCUGCAAGCCCAGCUGCUGUGUUGGUAGUCCUGUGUGCACCUCUUGCCCUGGCCUGCUGUGACUGUAUUUGUGUUGCAGCUCAAUAAAGUGGUGAUUGUGUGA